rnacentral:rRNA from 1 species
CGGAAGAGAUAAGUGCUGAAAGCAUCUAAGCACGAAACUUGCCCCGAGAUGAGUUCUCCCUGAGACUUUAGGUCUCCUGAAGGAACGUUGAAGACGACGACGUUGAUAGGCCGGGUGUGUAAGCGCAGCGAUGCGUUGAGCUAACCGGUACUAAUGAACCGUGAGGCUUAACCUU